CUCUUCCCUCGUUUGAGUGCUGUGCGGUAACGUUCUUUUGUCGUCGUGCUGUGCACAUCGAUUUUCGCAAGUUUUCUACCUUCGACUUUUGUUGUCUCCGCUAUGAGAGAUGUCGUAGUAUACGUUCUUAAAACAGAUUGUCGUUGCCGUCAUAUGGGCAGCGUCAAGACUGCAGCCAGGAUCAUGACGCUAGCAAGUUACGGAGUCACUGUUAGGAGCAAGUGAACUCUGAGUCAUCAUCGCCGGGCGAAUCCCGUUUCCUGGACGAAGGUUGCGAGUACUUUUCGGUAAAAGCGCCUCUACUCGCUAAAGCACUCUCCUGGCCAACCAUCAGCCCGAAGGACAACGUUCUCUCCAAUGAUUUGCUGAAAACGAAAGUGUUAUGUGGUGAAGUUCUGUUCCACGCUAAGACUGGGAGGUGACCCGGGUUCGAAUCCGGGCGCCGGCUGUGCUAUCUGGGUUUUUCUAAGACGCUUCAAGAUAAAAUGUCGGCACAGUUCCACGUGAAGUCGGUCCAAGACGCACGGUCCCCCGGCUGAGAAUGGUCGACUAUACGGCAAACAGUUUCAUUACCACCACCGUCUGCUCUAGGAAUACUGACAUUGCGGAAGUUUCCUCAGGUUAACUGACUCAUCGUGCAAGUUUUGAAGGCACUUUUGGGCAACCUUGAACUGAUGAUGAGAUAAACUAAUCGUGUCAGCAGUUCCCCUCGCAGAUUGGGGAUCAGUAACCUCACCGUCGAGGCAAGGAAGUCCCUUCUCAAGAGAGUCAUCAGUCUGUGCACAACAUCGGGUCGACAGAUAACCGAUCGACGACCGUAGUAAAAGCAACAGGAAAGAAAGACCCGGGGAAGUUGUUCUCCCCAAAGGCUUGCCAUCGAACGAGCAACGCUUCACCGCGGGGGAAUUCUGCUAAUCGUGCUCGAACCCCUUUACCGCCAAGCCCGUGGCUGCGUUAAAGUUGGUCGCCUACGUUGGACGGAGAAAAUCGAGUCUGCUCGACAGACGCGAUUAUCGUCAUUAAGUGUUUUCCUUUCCUCCUGGGGGAGUAA